CGUAGGUGGCAAGCGUUGUCCGGAUUUAUUGGGUUUAAAGGGUGCGUAGGCGGCCCUGUAAGUCAGUGCUGAAAUAUCCCGGCUUAACCGGGAGGGUGGCAUUGAUACUGCAGGGCUUGAGUGAAGUCGAGGUAGGCGGAAUUGACGGUGUAGCGGUGAAAUGCUUAGAUAUCGUCAAGAACACCGAUAGUGAAGACAGCUUACUAGGCUUAUACUGACGCUGAGGCACGAAAGUGUGGGGAUCAAACAGGAUUAGAUACCCUGGUAGUCCACACUGUAAACGUUGAUUACUCGCUGUUGGCGAUAUACAGCCAGCGGCCAAGCGCAAGCGAUAAGUAAUCCACCUGGGGAGUACGCCGGCAACGGUG
rnacentral:rRNA from 1 species